CGGUUGAUCCCGCCAGACCCCACUGCUAUCGGGAUAGGACUAAGACAUGCUAGUCGCGUGCCUCAGCUAAAACGAGGCACGGCGCACAGCUCAGUAGCACGUGGCUAAUCUGCCCUUGGGACGAGAAUACCCCCGGGAAACUGGGGCUAAUUCGCGAUAGGCGAAGAACACUGGAAUGUGUCUUCACCUAAAAGACCCUACGUUAUGCUCGUAGAAGUCGCCUAAGGAUGAGGCCGCGACCGAUCAGGUUGUUGGUGAGGUAAUGGCUCACCAAGCCUUUUACCGGUGCGGGCCGUGAGAGCGGGAGCCCGGAGAUGGGUACUGAGACAAGGACCCAGGCCCUACGGGGCGCAGCAGUCGCGAAACCUUUGCAAUACACGAAAGUGUGACAGGGCUAUCCCGAGUGCCAUCCGCUGAGGAAGGCUUUUACCCAGUCUAGAAAGCUGGGGGAAUAAGGAGAGGGCAAGUCUGGUGUCAGCCGCCGCGGUAAUACCAGCUCUUCGAGUGGUGUGGAUGUUUAUUGGGCCUAAAGCAUCCGUAGCUGGCUAGGUAAGUCCCUUGUAAAAUCCACCGAAUUAAUCGUUGGAUCGCGGGGGAUACUGCUUGGCUAGGGGACGAGAGAGGCAGACGGUAUUUUCGGGGUAGGGGUGAAAUCCUAUAAUCCCGGGAAGACCACCAGUGGCGAAGGCUGUCUGCUAGAACGCGCCCGACGGUGAGGGAUGAGAGCUGGGGGAGCGAACCGGAUUAGAUACCCGGGUAGUCCCAGCUGUAAACGAUGCAGACUAGGUGUUUGGACGGCCACGUGCCGUUCUAGUGCCGCAGGGAAGCUGUUAAGUCUGCCGCCUGGGGAGUACGAUCGCAAGAUUGAAACUUAAAGGAAUUGGCGGGGGAGCACCACAAGGGGUGAAGCUUGCGGUUUAAAUGGAGUCAACGCCGG
rnacentral:rRNA from 1 species